rnacentral:lncRNA from 1 species
GUUAGUUCUUAGUCCAUUUGUACAUUUCUGAAUCAACUCUAAGGCAGAAAAGCUUGCCUAGAAUUUGUAGGGCAUAGCCAGUUUUGGUACUGCUAUUUGUUACAUAAAUGAAAAUCACUAGUUAAUUAGUACUUUUUUUUGGUAAUAGAGUGUUAAAAUGUCAUGCACUUGACCAGUUGUUAUUUCUCUCUUCUACAGUUGCAAGAUUAUAGAAGUCAUUUUAUACGUGAAUAUAUCUCUAGAAGUAUAUUAUAUAACAUGAAUGUCCACUAAAACAUUUUAAUGAAUAUUUUGGUGAUCAGAAUAGUGAAGUGGUAUAUUCUGGGUGUUUAUAUCUAGUUUCAUACCUUCUCCAGACUCUCUUCAAGGAAGCCUGUUCUUUUCAGAAGCAUCGUUUGCAUGGACUCUUUAAUAGAUGAGAAUGAUGAUUUUUUUUUUAAUAUGGUACUAGGCAGAGCCACAAGCACCAGUCAGUUCUAAAGAGCCAACUGAAACACAAAGUUAUAAUUGCUAGCUUGUGUGAAGACAUGCUUUUCUCCUUCCAUUCUUGUUUACAGUUACCUGAACCAAUGUCACUUUCAGAUGCGCAGGACAAUGCUGACUAUAGAUUAUUUCAGAAAAUACUCAAAUUGUGUCGUUUGCCAUUUCCCUUUUGCACUACAUAAAGCUGUUCCAUCUGCUGAGACUGCAAGUGAGACAAGUGGCAUCUGCCCAGGACCUUGAGACAUUCACACCAGGGAAGCAUUUUAUGUCUUCUCUUUGACACAUCUGAAUGGCCAGCAUCAUCGUCCUGUGCUUUGGGGCUGUUAUUAGGUAAAAUAAGGAUGAUAUGAACAUACGUGCUAUGAGACUGUAACAGGCUGGUGUGGAUUCUUAGCUGUAUGUAAGGUGGAAAGGUUUGAUUUUGAGCUGCUUAUCUGUCAGCAUUGUCCAUGCUCUUCUUUAGCGCCCUCUAGAGGAGAGGGUCUCCAUGUGGGCUUCCAAGAUGUUACCAAUCCACUGAAAGUUCUUGCUCAACUCAUACAGAAGUCACAAAUUGGUAAAAUAAAAGGGUUUUUGUUGUUGUUAUUUUUUUUUGUUUUUAGUUUUAACAGCCCCGGG